UACGUAGGGUGCAAGCGUUUAAUCGGAAUUACUGGGCGUAAAGCGUGCGCAGGCGGCUUUGCAAGACAGAUGUGAAAUCCCCGGGCUUAACCUGGGAACUGCAUUUGUGACUGCAUGGCUAGAGUGCGGCAGAGGGGGAUGGAAUUCCGCGUGUAGCAGUGAAAUGCGUAGAUAUGCGGAGGAACACCGAUGGCGAAGGCAAUCCCCUGGGCCUGCACUGACGCUCAUGCACGAAAGCGUGGGGGAGCAAACAGG
rnacentral:rRNA from 1 species